rnacentral:rRNA from 1 species
AUACGGAGGAUGCGAGCGUUAUCCGGAUUCAUUGGGUAUAAAGGGUGCGUAGGCGGCCCCCCAAGUCAGCGGUGAAAUGUCCGGGCCCAACCCGGAGGGUGCCGUUGAUACUGCGGGGCUGGAGUACGGACGCCGGCGGAGGAAUGAGUGGUGUAGCGGUGAAAUGCAUAGAUAUCACUAAGAACACCGAUUGCGAAGGCACCCGCCGAGGCCUUUACUGACGAUGAGGCACGAAAGCGUGGGGAUAGAACAGGAUUAGAUCCCCUGGUAUUCCACGCCGUAAACGAUGAUGACUAACCGCCGGGCGGAGUGACGUCCGGCAGCCAAGCGAAAGCGAUAAGUCAUCCACCUGGGGAGUACGGCCGCAAGGCUGAAACUCAAAGGAAUUGACGGGG